rnacentral:rRNA from 1 species
ACCUACCUAUAAGACUGGGAUAACUUCGGGAAACCGGAGCUAAUACCGGAUAAUAUUUUGAACCGCAUGGUUCAAAAGUGAAAGACGGUCUUGCUGUCACUUAUAGAUGGAUCCGCGCUGCAUUAGCUAGUUGGUAAGGUAACGGCUUACCAAGGCAACGAUGCAUAGCCGACCUGAGAGGGUGAUCGGCCACACUGGAACUGAGACACGGGUCCAGACUCCUACGGGAGCAGCAGUAGGGAAUCUUCCGCAAUGGGCGAAAGCCUGACGUGAGCAACGCCGCGUGAGUGAUGAAGGUCUUCGGAUCGUAAAACUCUGUUAUUAGGGAAGAACAUAUGUGUAAGUAACUGUGCACAUCUUGACGGUACCUAAUCAGAAAGCCACGGCUAACUACGUGCCAGCAGCCGCGGUAAUACGUAGGUGGCAAGCGUUAUCCGGAAUUAUUGGGCGUAAAGCGCGCGUAGCGGUUUUUUAAGUCUGAUGUGAAAGCCCACGGCUCAACCGUGGAGGGUCAUUGGAAACUGGAAAACUUGAGUGCAGAAGAGGAAAGUGGAAUUCCAUGUGUAGCCGGUGAAAUGCGCAGAGAUAUGGAGGAACACCAGUGGCGAAGGCGACUUUCUGGUCUGUAACUGACGCUGAUGUGCGAAAGCGUGGGGAUCAAACAGGAUUAGAUACCCUGGUAGUCCACGCCGUAAACGAUGAGUGCUAAGUGUUAGGGGGUUUCCGCCCCUUAGUGCUGCAGCUAACGCAUUAAGCACUCCGCCUGGGGAGUACGACCGCAAGGUUG